UCUUCAUUUCAUACACUCUUUCGCCGAUGAGAGAUGCGAGAAAGUGUAUGAAAUGAAGAGA
rnacentral:pre_miRNA from 1 species